AGAUGCCAGCGAUGUUUAUCAUCCUCAUUCCCUUGCUGACAAUACUCCAAACAGGGUUUGCACUUGAGUGCCUGCAGUGUAGUGGAAUAUCUCAACCCCGACAUUGCAGAAUCGUAUCAACAUGUGACGCAGAUGAGAUUUGCGGUGUUCAGCAAGUAAAAACUCUUCACGGAAGAAACGUCUACAAUGUUGGAUGCGUGGC